UACGUAGGUGACAAGCGUUGUCCGGAUUUACUGGGCGUAAAGAGCGCGCAGGCGGUCGAUCAAGUCGAGUGUGAAAGCCCCCGGCUCAACUGGGGAGGGCCAUUCGAAACUGAUCGACUUGAAGGCGGGAGAGGGUAGUGGAAUUCCCGGUGUAGUGGUGAAACGCGUAGGUAUCGGGAGGAACACCAGUGGCGAAGGCGACUACCUGGCCUGUUCUUGACGCUGAGGCGCGAAAGCUAGGGGAGCAAGCGGG
rnacentral:rRNA from 1 species